AUCUAAUACCAUUCAUUCCCUAAUCCUUUUAUUUUACACCUACAAAAAGACUUAAAUUUUGCAAGUAAGUGGCAAGAAACAUAGGUUUCUAAGUCUUGUUUCGUAUAAUAGUGAUGAUUAGUUUACACGUUUUGGUCAUCAAAUGCCCUAUUUCCACAGUAAAGCAGUCAAUUCUGCCAUUUCUAAAGGGGUCUUAUGAGGUAACAGUAUUUAUAACCAUUCUUAGAUAAUAAGCUAUACCUCUCUCUCUGCUUUGUUUCUUAUUCAGUUGCAGUGUGUUAGGCUGAAAAAUUACCCAGGUGUUUAACCCAGUUUUAUCCAGCUUCCUUUCGAAAGAACUGUGUUUACUACACAUAACUUUUGACAUCACCAUUUCCUGAAGACCUUGGUAUUCAAAAUGCAUGAGAAACCCUUUUGCUAUCCAGAAUGUCUAAGUUUGUUCUUUGUUAUGAGACACUAAUUGAUGAUGUAGAAUUGAGGGGUCUCAGUGAUCCUAGUCUUUUUGAAAUCAGAUCUUUAAGUAUCUUGUAUUUGAGGGACUUUAUAAUAGAGGGUAUCACUCCUGUUUUAGAAGUUUAAAACUGGUAUAUAUGAUUUGUAAUGUAUUGCUUAUAUUAACUUCUACUGGCAAAUGACAGCUAGAAAGUUAAACUAAGAUAAUUUCCAGUAAGUAUACUACCUAUAAAUAACCAAAUCAGGAUGGGCAUCACUCAGUUCUGACUCAGCAGAUGAAAAAUGGGUUCCCCAUGCUCUGCACUUCUUGUUUUCCUGUUGCACUGAGCCUCUUCAGUGCUUUGUCAUAACUCUAUGACAGCAGAAGAAAGCGAAGAUGGAAAUUGUAGAAAUAUAAGCAGAAAGAGGUUGAAAGAACUAAAAGGUACUUUGAGUUAACAGGUGUGGGUCUGCCAUCCAUACUGGCCUGUGCCCCACUGGGACAUGAGAGACAUGACACAUGACUCAAGUGGUGUUAGUAUAAGGACCAUUACCCAUGCUCUCCCCACCAGUCCAUACUGUUGUUUUUCUAUGUAAACAAAUUGUUUGUAAUGCUUUGAAAAUGAACUCU
rnacentral:lncRNA from 1 species